UGUCACUCCUAUUCUCUUUACCUUGGAGGGUCUGUCCUGGUGUCUUCUUGGCAAGCGGCCAGCAUCAGGGAAACAAUGGAUAAUCACCGGCCAUUAACGGAGAAGCAGGUCACACUGCAUCCAGCUGAAGGACCUUAACAUAGGAAAGAGAAGGCUCAGGUGUGAAAACCGUUAUCAAGAUGUAAAAAUAGCAAGUGAGGCUGGGAUGGAGACAGACUGUACUUGGUGAUGCCCAGUGACAGGAUAGCAGUCCAUGGACACAAACAGAAACUCCUUCAGGCCCUGCAAGACCACCCUGAGCUCAGCCCAAAGCUUCUCCUGUCCAGGUGAACAAUCCCAGCUGUGCCAGCCUUUGCUCCCAGCAGAGCUGCUCCAUCCUCUGCUCAUCCUGGAGCCUCCUCUGGGCUCUCUGCAGCAGCUCCAGGUCCUGGCUGUGCUGGUCCCAGGGCCGGCACAGCUCUGCAGGUGAGGUAUAUUUAUAAAUAGAAAUAAACCCAUAAAUAGAAAGUGGAACAAUUAUGUUGAAGGAUUUGGAAGAUUAUUUUCUUCUCCAGUGAAACAUAGUUUUCAAUGGGGAAGGCCCAUUUUGGCUUUCCAACAUUUUGGGUUUUUUACACAAGCAGUAAAAUUUCCAAAGAAAAGUCAGCAGCUGAAGUUUCUGAUGUCAAAUAAAGUUGUAGCUGCAUGCAAAAAUGUGGGCACACACUUGGAGUGCAAAUUGAUUAUGUAAAAAUAACGUUCUUUAAAUGUCUGGCAUUUCUUUUCUUGUUCUGUCCUUUUACUUGUGUGAAAUAUUGGUGGGACUUUAUGUUCCAUGAAAAUAUAAAUACAUAGCAAGU